rnacentral:rRNA from 1 species
AUGUCUUGCGCCUGUUGUAUGAUGGCCCAGAUAUUACAAGCAUCUACUGGCCAAGUCCAGAUUUACGAUGCACAGAAAAAUGGGCGAAAUAGAUAUAACAGCACCAGGGUCGCAUUUCUGGACGACAAGGGUAAUUUUGUGUCAAGUGAUGGGUUUAAAAUAGUGGCUUCAGAUUCAGGCCCUGGGAUCAAGAGGAGGAUUACAAUUGAUCAUGAUGGAAAUUUUAGAAUGUACAGCUUGGAUGCGUCAGCAAGGAAAUGGGUGGUUACAGGGCAGGCUGUAAUACAGAUGUGCUAUGUGCACGGAUUGUGCGGCAAGAAUGGGCUUUGUGACUACUCAGAAGGCCUUAAAUGUAGAUGUCCUCCAGAAUAUGUGAUGGUUGAUCCAACAGACUGGAACAAGGGAUGCAAACCAACAUUCACAAUUGGCAGCAAUCAACCACAUGAUAACUUUACAUUUGUUAAGCAACCUCAUGCAGACUUCUAUGGCUUUGAUCUGGGUUCUAAUCAAUCCAUCUCAUUUGAAGCAUGUUGGGACAUUUGCCUCAACAGCAGCUCAUGUAUAUCUUUCACAUACAAGGGUGGGGAUGGUUGGUGUUAUACUAAAGACAUACUCUACAACGGUCAGGUGUACCCGUAUUUCCCAGGAGACAACUACAUGAAAGUACCAAAGAGUUUCAAUGGUUCAGCAUCCUCGGUCUUCAAACAAAAAACCCUAACCUGCAGACCCAGUGGUUCAGAGAUUAUGAUAGGAUCAGCAAACAUGUAUGGAAUAAAGAAGGACAACAUAAAGUGGAUAUACUUGUAUGUCUUUGGUGCAAUACUGGGAGUUCUAGAGUUGCUUGUUAUUGUAUUGUGA